rnacentral:rRNA from 1 species
AGUGAACGCUGGCGGCAGGCCUAAUACAUGCAAGUCGAACGGCAGCACAGUGGAGCUUGCUCCAUGGGUGGCGAGUGGCGGACGGGUGAGGAAUACAUGGGAAUCUGCCCAGUCGUGGGGGAUAACGUAGGGAAACUUACGCUAAUACCGCAUGCGCCCUUCGGGGGAAAGCCGGGGACCUUCGGGCCUGGCGCGAUUGGAUGAGCCCAUGUUCGAUUAGCUAGUUGGCGGGGUAAAGGCCCACCAAGGCGACGAUCGAUAGCUGGUCUGAGAGGAUGAUCAGCCACACUGGGACUGAGACGCGGCCCAGACUCCUACGGGAGGCAGCAGUAGGGAAUAUUGGACAAUGGGCGCAAGCCUGAUCCAGCCAUGCCGCGUGAGUGAAGAAGGCCCUCGGGUUGUAAAGCUCUUUUGUCCGGGAAGAAAAGCAUCGGGCUAAUACCUCGGUGUUCUGACGGUACCGGAAGAAUAAGCACCGGCUAACUUCGUG